rnacentral:rRNA from 1 species
AGUGAGGCUUUCGGACUGGCCCAGGGAGAGUGGCAACACUCACCCAGGGCCGGAAAGUUGUUCAAACUUGGUCAUUUAGAGGAAGUAAAAGUCGUAACAAGGUUUCCGUAGGUGAACCUGCGGAAGGAUCAUUAAAGAAUCGCCCCGUUUUUUGAAAUGGGUUCUAUUCCCAAACCGUGUAUACAUACCUUUGUUGCUUUGGCAGGCCGCCUUYUAGGCGUCGGCUCCGGCUGACUGCGCCUGCCAGAGGACCCAAACUCUUUUGUUUAGUGAUGUCUGAGUACUAUAUAAUAGUUAAAACUUUCAACAACGGAUCUCUUGGUUCUGGCAUCGAUGAAGAACGCAGCGAAAUGCGAUAAGUAAUGUGAAUUGCAGAAUUCAGUGAAUCAUCGAAUCUUUGAACGCACAUUGCGCCCCUUGGUAUUCCGAGGGGCAUGCCUGUUCGAGCGUCAUUAUAACCACUCAAGCCUCGGCUUGGUCUUGGGGUUCGCGGUCUCGCGGCCCUUAAAAUCAGUGGCGGUGCCGUCUGGCUCUAAGCGUAGUAAUUUUCUCGCUAUAGGGUCYAGGYGACCACCUGCCAGAACCCCCCAUUCUUUACGGUUGACCUCGGAUCAGGUAGGGAUACCCGCUGAACUUAAGCAUAUCAAUAAGCGGAGGAAAAGAAACCAACAGGGAUUGCCUCAGUAACGGCGAGUGAAGCGGCAACAGCUCAAAUUUGAAAUCUGGCUCUUUCAGGGUCCGAGUUGUAAUUUGUAGAAGAUGCUUUGGGUGUGGCUCCNGUCUAAGUUCCUUGGAACAGGACGUCAUAGAGG